AGUCUUUAACUGAAGGGCACUGACUGGGUCACUGGUGAAGUUCCCCGCAGGAACUGAGUCAGACCCCAUCUCAGGGCCCUGCACAAGAUAGGUGCCUGCUCUAAGGCGUGGACCCUCGCCACAGCCCUGGCCCGUCUUGACGGGCGAGGGUUACUGUACUUGUCCCAACCGUACAGAUGAGAAAGCUGAGACUCAGGGCCAGCAACCCGGGUCCCAGCGGAGCGCCCGGCACACGCCGACACUUCAGCACCAGUGGCGGUGGCCACCACUGUGGGCGGAGAUGGCUGCGACGCGUGCGCAGGUAAAGUCUAUGCGCGCCUUGCCUCCCACCGGCGCCUUCCCCGGCCUCUGGUUUUUGUCCCCGCCAGCGGCUCCGACUCCAUCGCGUCCUCUUCCAGUCUAGUGCUUUUUUCCAGAUCUCGAUCCCAAACUCCCUCCUGCCAGAAUCUGGACCCGAAUCCACCCAUUGCCCGUUUUCCGCUGCCGCUGGAGAGAAUCUCUGAGGUCCCCAGGAGAGCCUGCCUGCACGGAAGAGACGCCUCCUCGGUAUGGCCGCCCCCGGAGAGGAGCGAUUAAGUGCAGACCUCCUUGUUGCUCUUGAGCCUGAGCGGCUUCAGGGAGCCAUGUUUGUUACUGGCGGGCGCCGACCUCACUGAGCAUGUGCAGCCCUGGCCGGGCGGCCUCAAAGUUCUGACAUCACAGGGCGGUUCCUGAAGUGGACGUAGUUGUAAGAGCUAGUUAUUUUAGACAAUGCCUCUGGGAUCAGGGACUCUAAUCUGGAAAUAGGUAGUCGGAGAGGUCGGUGAUGCAGUCUCUGGAUCAGAGACCUGAGCUAUAUGGGGUUAGAGAGGGGCCCUGGGCAGGCGAGUCUCUGGGGAGUGUGGUGAGAAUCCUUGUGUAAGAUGCUGGGAGGAGGUGGGGUCAGGGCUGGGGUCCGUGGGCCGACGGGUUGGGGGAUGGCCAGCGUCAGGGAUCAGUAGUAGAGAUUCUAUGUGCCCUGAUCGCCAGUGGAGGUUUUAAAUACAGAGUAUUCAUGAGUUUAGCAAUGUUUUUCGCCUCUCAUUAUUUAAAUAAUUUGAAGUUUUCCCCAAUAACUAGUGUCUUAGAAGUCAUGAAAAUUUCAGAAAAUGACAGGUCUUCUGAGUUCGUGAUGGGAGUUGGGCAGCAGUCGCAUACGAGCACCUGGAGAGUCCUUGCCAGUUCUUUGGGGAUGGGGAGCUCUUAAGACUGCCCUGAGACCGCCCUUUGACCUCAUUGUGGUCCUUUCUAGAUUAAAUGCUGUUUUCCAUGACCGUCUCUGUUCUUCCCAUACGGGAAUGGCAGGCAUUCAGAUCUCCAAGAAUAGAGGAUUAGGAGAGACUCCACCACCUAUGUCCUCACAGUUAAUUAUCGAUUUGUGUCAGUUGCCCAUUUUCUCACUUCCUGUUUGUGUGUCAAGGGGUAUUAAUAAAUCUUUGCCUAUUUAAAGAUA
rnacentral:lncRNA from 10 species